rnacentral:rRNA from 1 species
GACGAACGCUGGCGGCGUGCUUAACACAUGCAAGUCGAACGGAGUGGCGAACGGGUGAGUAACACGUGGGUGACCUGCCCUGCACUUCGGGAUAAGCCUGGGAAACUGGGUCUAAUACCGGAUAGUGUGGGAUGGGCCCGCGGCCUAUCAGCUUGUUGGUGGGGUAAUGGCCUCCCAAGGCGGCGACGGGUAGCCGGCCUGAGAGGGUGGACGGCCACAAUGGGACUGAGAGACGGAGCAGAGGCGUACGGGGGGCAGCAGGGGGGAGUAUGGCACAAUGGGCGGAAGCCUGCUGCGGCGACGCCGGGGGGGGGAUGACGGCCUUCGGGUUGUGAACUCCUUUCACCAUCGACGCGGUAGAUGGAGAAGAAGCACCGGCUAACUACGUGCCAGCCGCCGCGGUAAUAC